rnacentral:rRNA from 1 species
UACGUAGGGUGCGAGCGUUAAUCGGAAUCACUGGGCUUAAAGGGCGCGUAGGCGGGUGCUCAAGUCCGUGGUGAAAUCCUCCGGCUCAACCGGAGAACUGCCUCGGAUACUGGGUGCCUCGAGGGUGGUAGGGGUAUGCGGAACUAUCGGUGGAGCGGUGAAAUGCGUUGAUAUCGAUAGGAACUCCGGUGGCGAAGGCGGCAUACUGGACCACCUCUGACGCUGAGGCGCGAAAGCCAGGGGAGCAAACGGG